CAUAAAGCUGUGGGAUCCCCAGCCAGGGUCCCCAACCCUGCUGUGGGGCACAGGGUUCCUCUAGAAUGAUAUCCCCAAUCCUGGGAGAUCACGGGAGAGAUCAUCUGGACCCUGCGGUCCGCCCAGACCCUAGUGGGGUUAGACCAGCAGUCAGAACAAGGACAGGCCUGUGAUGCGUCUGUCUAUGGCGAGGAGGACAAUGUCCCAAGGAAUGGAGAGGAAGAAAGUGAAGGGAGCCAGGUCCCUGGAUGUCCAUGUGGCACAGUAGCCCAGGAUGAGCACUGUGGCCUGUUACAAGAUAGAGAGAGGGGCAUGAUCUUCCUAACGGCAUUGGUUUAUCAUGGGUCUCUUUAUUAUAGAAGCUUAAUUUUACCUUAAUACACCCACUUCAUGGAUGAGUAAAACUGAGGCUUGGAGAAGCCCAAACUGACACAGCAAGGAAGGCUGGGGCUCUCGUGCUGGUGAAAUCGCUGGACCUUGAUGUCUCCCAAAUGUUUCAUGCUGGAUUCUGAGCCACUCUCUUGGCUGCAGCUCUGAGGCUGGGCAGACUUCCUGCUGGAAAGAGAACUUGAACACUGGUGAGGGCUGGAUUUGAAGCCGGGAGCCAAGUUCUGGCUCUGCAAGUUCGCACCCAGCUCUGUGGUACAUGCUCUCACAUGUCACCCAGGGCCUCCUGUGCAGGCUUCUGCAGGCCACGCGUGAUGGAGGAGAGUUGAAGAACAAGGUUUUCAAAGUAGUUAGUGUGUGAGAGAGUAACCCUGGGGCCCCCGGCGGGGGAACCAGAGGGAGGGAUUUGGGGGCUGGAGCUUGGCAGUCCGGGUUCCAUUGUCCUCACAUUCUCCCCGCUGGCCUGGCCUGCCACUUGUCUCUGCUUAGGUUGUCACACGAUAUUCUCCCUGUCUGUCUCUGUGUCUCUCCUCCUCUUCUUAUAAGGACAUGGUCAUGAUGGAUAGGACCACCCUAA